rnacentral:rRNA from 1 species
AUUGAACGCUGGCGGCAGGCUUAACACAUGCAAGUCGAGCGGGGUGAUGGUGCUUGCACUAUCACUUAGCGGCGGACGGGUGAGUAAUGCUUAGGAAUCUGCCUAUUAGUGGGGGACAACAUCUCGAAAGGGAUGCUAAUACCGCAUACGUCCUACGGGAGAAAGCAGGGGAUCACUUGUGACCUUGCGCUAAUAGAUGAGCCUAAGUCGGAUUAGCUAGUUGGUGGGGUAAAGGCCUACCAAGGCGACGAUCUGUAGCGGGUCUGAGAGGAUGAUCCGCCACACUGGGACUGAGACCCGGCCCAGACUCCUACGGGAGGCAGCAGUGGGGAAUAUUGGACAAUGGGGGAAACCCUGAUCCAGCAAUGCCGCGUGUGUGAAGAAGGCCUUCGGGUUGUAAAGCACUUUCAGCGGGGAAGAAAGAACCAAAAUUAAUACUUUUGGGUGUUGACGUUACCCGCAGAAGAAGCACUGGCUAACUAUGUGCCAGCCGCCGCGGUAA